UGCCAGCCGCCGCGGUAAUACGAAGGGGGCUAGCGUUGUUCGGAAUUACUGGGCGUAAAGCGCACGUAGGCGGAUCGUUAAGUGAGGGGUGAAAUCCCGGGGCUCAACCCCGGAACUGCCUUUCAUACUGGCGAUCUGGAGUUCGAGAGAGGUGAGUGGGAUUCCGAGUGUAGAGGUGAAAUUCGUAGAUAUUCGGAGGAACACCAGUGGCGAAGGCGGCUCACUGGACCAUUAUUGACGCUGAGGUGCGAAAGCGUGGGGAGCAAACAGGAUUAGAUA
rnacentral:rRNA from 1 species